rnacentral:misc_RNA from 1 species
AGAAGAGAAUAAGGGUUUCGGUGAAUCGAGGAUGGUUGGACCACAGAGACCACAGUUCGUUCUCUUUGGAUCCUCUAUUGUUCAGAUCAGUUACAGCAAUGGCGGUUGGGGCGCUAUUCUCUCCGACAUUUAUGCCCGCAAAGCGGACAUAUUAUUGCGAGGUUACUAUGGUUGGAACUCAAGACGUGCUAUACAGGUCCUUGAUCAAGUGUUUCCAAAGGAUGCAACUGUUCAGCCUACAUUGGUGAUUGUUUACUUUGGUGGUAAUGAUUCAAUGGGACCUCAUUCAUCUGGAUUGGGUCCUCAUGUACCUCUUCCAGAGUACAUUGAGAACAUGAGAAAAAUUGCAACUCAUCUCAAGAGCAUCUCAGAGAAUAUUCGCAUAAUUUUUCUCAGUUGUCCACCUGUUGACGAGGCCAGAAUUCGUGAAAAUACAAGUGCAUAUUUCAGUGAGUUGGUUCGAACAAAUGAAUUGUGUCGACAGUAUUCUGAGGCCUGUAUAGAGCUAUGCAAAGAGAUGAAUCUGAAGGUUGUUGAUCUUUGGACAGCACUUCAGAAAAGAAAAGAUUGGUUGACUGCUUGUUUUACGGAUGGGAUUCACUUAGCGGAGGAGGGGAGUAAAAUAGUUGUUGAAGAGAUCCUCAAGGUGUUGAAGGAAGCCGAGUGGACACCUAGUUUACACUGGAAAUCAAUGGCAACAGAAUUUCCUGAAGAUUCUCCUUAUGAUUUGGUUUUAGCAGAUGGUAAAACCACAAUAAACCCAUCUGACUGGACUUACCAUCGACAAAUUCAAUGGGAUUAGAUUAACCUUCAAACAUAAAGCUUCACAAUGUAUCCUAUAUUUUCCCUUUUCAUUCAAAUGCUAAUUUGUCACUUCUUUAUUCAUAAAAUAUAUUGAAAUUACUCUUGGCCCA